CUUAUUGGCUGUGUGAUAUUUGGCAAGUUAUAUAGCCUAUCAGGCUUCAAGUUCAUUACUUACUCUUUAUUGAUAAUGUCUACUUCAUAGAGAAAUCCACCAUUAGCUCUUGAAAAUUUUUCCUUAACUAUGGUCUCUUGGAAAUAUUACCUUUAUGACUGUAGCUAAGAAAACCAAAAAUAAUGAUGACUGAAUUUUCCUCUUUGCAAGUCAAUGGGUUCAAAAUAUUGAACCUGUACCUGAUGACAUCAGUGGACAUUUAGUCUUACAAGAUCCCCCAUACGGAAGCCAUAGUGAAAGCUGGAGCAAGGUGCUAUUGCAAAUAUGAAGGGUGACAUGAGGAUGUGGACUUCCCACUCAUGCAGCUUAUUCAUGUCCUCUGUUUGUGUUUUGUUCCAAGCCUGGAUAUUCUGCUUCUGAAUCUGUCCACCUCUGACUUGAUAUUCCAGCCCUUACAUGAGUGUCAACUAUAUGCUCCAUUCGUCAUCAGUAUCUUCAUCAGUAAUUACAUGCUGCAAUCAGUAUUUAUUCACUGACUUCCAAAAGAGACUAGGUAUAGGUGUUCUCUACAUUUUUAUGAGAAAUGAACAGCACUUUCAUUAUAGAAAAAAAAAGAGAAAAUGUUAAAAUUCGAAAUGAAGAAGUUAUCCAUGGAAUUCUUACAUUGCUAAAAGAGAGAAGGCAAGAGCAACGAGAUAAAAACAUAAAUAAAAACAAACACCAAGAGGUUGA